GAUGAACGCUGGCGGCGUGCCUAACACAUGCAAGUCGAACGGAAAGACGCUGCUCUUGUGGUGUGCUCGAUUGGCGAAAGGGUGUGUAUCACGUGAGUAAAACGUCCUUGACUGUGGGAUAUCUUUUGGAAAAUCGGGCUAAAACCGGAGAGGAGCUCUUGCUCCAUGGUGGGGAUUGGAAAAAUUCGGCUGUUGUGGAUGGACUCGCGGCUUAUUAGCUAGUUGGUGGGGUAGGGGCUUACCAAGGCUUUGACGGGUAGCCGGCCUGAGAGGGUGACCGGCCACACUGGAACUGAGAUACGGCCCAGACUCCUACGGGAGGCAGCAGUGGGGAAUAUUGCGCAAUGGGCGGAAGCCUGACGCAGCAACGCCGCGUGAGUGAUGAAGGCCUUCGGAUUGUAAACCGCUUUCGCCUGUGACGAAGCGUGAGUGACGGUAAUGGGUAAAGAAGCACCGGCUAACUACGUG
rnacentral:rRNA from 1 species